AUUGAACGCUGGCGGCAGGCCUAACACAUGCAAGUCGAGCGGAGCGGCGGACGGGUGAGUAAUGCCUAGGAAUCUGCCUGGUAGUGGGGGAUAACGUCCGGAAACGGGCGCUAAUACCGCAUACUAUCAGCUGAGCCUAGGGCGGAUUAGCUAGUUGGUGGGGUAAAGGCCUACCAAGGCGACGAUCCGUAACUGGUCUGAGAGGAGGAUCAGGCACCUUGGGACUGAGAUACGGACCAAAGUCCGACGGGAGGCAGCAGUGGGGAACAUGGCACAAUGGGGGAAACCCUGAUGAAGAAACGCUGCGGGCGGAAUGACGGCCGUCGGGUGGUAAACGGCUUUCAGCCAUGACGCGGUAGUGGCAGAAGAAGCACCGGCUAACUACGUGCCAGCAGCCGCGGUAAUAC
rnacentral:rRNA from 1 species